rnacentral:rRNA from 1 species
AUUGAACGCUGGCGGCAUGCCUUACACAUGCAAGUCGAACGGCAGCGGGCCUUCGGGUGCCGGCGAGUGGCGAACGGGUGAGUAAUGCAUCGGAACGUGCCAUUGAGUGGGGGAGUAACGUAGCGAAAGUUGCGCUAAUACCGCAUAUUCUGUGAGCAGGAAAGCAGGGGACCGCAAGGCCUUGCGCUCUUUGAGCGGCCGAUGUCAGAUUAGCUAGUUGGUGAGGUAAAGGCUUACCAAGGCGACGAUCUGUAGCGGGUCUGAGAGGAUGAUCCGCCACACUGGAACUGAGACACGGUCCAGACUCCUACGGGAGGCAGCAGUGGGGAAUUUUGGACAAUGGGGGCGAACCCUCGAUCCAGCCACUGCCGCGUGAGUGAAGAAGG